rnacentral:tRNA from 1 species
GCGGGGGUUUCCCAGCCAGGUCAAAGGUAUUAAUACAAAAGCUUUAUGAUUAGAUACCGACAAAAGGAGCUGGACUUAGGAUCCAGUCGCAUAGGCGUUCGUGAGUUCAAAUCUCACCCCCCGCA